GUACUGCUGAGGAGUCCCACAUUAAGACGAAACGGUCGUCCAGUGC
rfam:Schistosoma rodhaini strain Burundi genome assembly, scaffold: SROB_scaffold0003299